rnacentral:tRNA from 1 species
CAGGGAGACAACAAAAUGUUAAAUAUUAAUUUUGUCACCUUAGGUCGAUCGGUAUCUCACAUUCUUAAAUUUAUUUAAGGAUUUUAUUUCCUAAGUUUUUUCUAGGUCACACCCAUUUUUCCCUGGGCCAUUAGCUCAGGUGGUUAGAGCGCACCCCUGAUAAGGGUGAGGUCCCUGGUUCAAGUCCAGGAUGGCCCAUAUCUCUAUGUUGGGGGUAUAGCUCAGUUGGUAGAGCGCCUGCUUUGCAAGCAGGAUGUCAGCGGUUCGAGUCCGCUUACCUCCACUGAUUACCACCUCUUCCAUAAUUUCAUAGUAGGGAAUUUUUGAGUUGUGAUCAAAUUCUGAACGAAUCUAGCUUCCUAAUGUUUUUAUUAAGAUGCUGGACUCAUUGAAUUAAUUUCAUUGUUUUCAGAGAACCUUGACAACUGCAUAGAUUAUUUUUAAAGACAAUAAGCAUCUUUAAUGAUACAGAUUUAUUAUUUGUGCGAAUGCAUUAAUAACAAUUCUAUUAAGCUGAUGCUUCAAUUUUGAAGUUAUU